AUCUCAUGAAGAGUGGUUGAGGGACUGGCCCUACGAAACCACGGCAACCGGCUGGGACGCGAUUUCCAGUGCAGGUGCCAAGUCCAGCUCGAGCACCAUUAGCUCGGGGAAAAAUGAGAA
rnacentral:ncRNA from 2 species